AAAAAUCCAUAAAACAAAUAAAAAUCGAGUCAAACCACCGAUUUGGACUAAACCAGUUCGAAUCAAACCGAAAUAGUCUAGAAACCCAAAUUUUCUUUGCUUCUUCUCGAGCGCAUGAGCCCCCCUCCUCUCUCUUCGUUUUUGGCCACCGUUUGGCGGAAACAAGGCGGCGACAGGCCCCCUUCGCGAUGGUGGUUCUGAUUCUGCCUCUCCUCCCGAUGAUCAGAUCCCCAGGAGCACGAACGGAGGCUUCAUCCAUCGACAGCCUCGUUCCUCGAUCUCCAGCGACACUAGGCGAUUCCUGCGAGUUGAAGCUCCAAAAUGAAUCUUGAUCAACUCAGCUCCUCCACGCGAAGAUUUUCCAUCCAAGAAUCGACGGAUUCUGUGGAGGGAACUGAAACCACCAUGAGUGGCGGAGUGGAGAUGGCUGUGGCUGUCGAUCCGCCCAAACGAGACACUAUCUCCUCAAAACGACACCAAUUUCAGCUUCUACAAGUGAUUUCGAGCAUUUUGGUGUAGGUGUUGCAUGAUUCUGGGUCAUUUGGCUUUUCCGGCCAUCGUACACGGUGGUGUCGACGGCGAUCCGGCGAGGCCUCAAGAGUAAGAAUCAUCUCCUCCUCGCGCAGAUUGUGGAACCGUUGUCCGAUUUUCGAUUGGAUGAAGUGGGUUACCAUGAGUUUGUGAGGGCGGUCAGCGAUACCGUCGGCCAAAUAUGGGGAGAUCGGCUCCCCCGUGUGCACCUGAUGAUAUGAUAUAGAUGAUAUAGAAAACCACAGGGUGUCCUCCUGUUGGUAUAGAAAAGAAAAGAGAGAAUGGAAAAAUAAUGAGAGAGCUUGUCAAGUGAGAAUUAAACCGAUCGGCCAUGUAUGGGGGAUCGGCUUCUUGGUGCAUACGUCAUAAGAGGAUGGGUCAUGUGAGAGGACGACUCAUCGGGGGUUUCGGUGACGCCACUGGCUAAUUUCCACGUGAUGUGAUUAUGUGAAGGUAUUUAUAUUUGUGAGUGCUGUUGUUAUGCCAUCUGUGUAAUCACCUGCAUGAUUAUAUAACUAGUCGGAUGACUAGACGAGUAUACUUACACAUUCGGGUGAAUGCAUGUAUUGUGCAAUAAUUAUUAUUUUAGCCUCGUUUUUAAGGUUAAGGCUUAGGGAAGGCUGGUUGGAGACUUAAUUGACAGUUGAACGUUUUACCACGUUUUUUGGCAUUGAUGGGAACAGUCCGUCCAGCUUAGAUCAAUGUCACAACGGUUUGAGCUUGAUGCUCCAGAAGCUGUCGAAGUAGUAUUUCUCAUAAAACUCACAUGUCUUGUUUAUCUUGUUUAGCUUUUCAGGAAGUAGAUUCUUCUAAACCCUAGUUAAAACUCUAUUUCUUUCACCGCAGAGCUAAAGAAGAAAAUAUUUAAUUUUAAUAUUUAGUGUAAUUGUGAGAUUACAAAAUCUAAAUGUUCUGUUUAAUAUUGAACUCUGCAGUUGUAGGAAUAAAAUCAACAAACUGAUGAGGAUGUUCAAUUAAUCAUUUAUGAAAAUGCUUGAAUCUGUUAGCCCA